rnacentral:lncRNA from 1 species
UCUAACUUUGUUUCUCAGGUUCAGUCCCAGCCUUCUGUUCCAGCCAAGCUGAGGCCCCAGCGGAUACACCAGAUAUGAGAAGCUGGACACUCCCCUCAGGCCUGCCAGGCAACAGCCUACACCCACCUCAGACAGCAGCUCUGACAGCAACCUCACAACUGAGGAGGAUGAGGACAGGCCUGAGGUGCACAAGCCCAUCAGUGGAAGAUAUGAGGUAUUUGACCAGGUCACUCAGGAGGGCGCUGGACAUGACCCAGCCCCUGAGGGCCAAGCAGACUAUGAUCCCGUCACUCCAUAUGUCACGGAAGUUGAGUCUGUGGUUGGAGAGAACACCAUGUAUGCACAAGUGUUCAACUUACAGUGGUGCCACCACCACAACAGAAUGAUCUUGAGAUUCCUGAAAGUCCUACCUAUGAAAAUUUCACCUGA